GUCACAGUGGCCGAGAUGUUAAGGACUUGGACUUGAAAUCCAAUGGGGUUUCCCUGCACAGGUUCAAAUCCUGUUUGUGACG